UACAGAGGUCCCGAGCGUUGUUCGGAUUCACUGGGCGUAAAGGGUGCGUAGGUGGCGAGGUAAGUCGGAUGUGAAAGCUCGGAGCUCAACUCCGAAAUGGCAUUGGAAACUACCUUGCUCGAGGGUUGGAGGGGGGGACUGGAAUGCUUGGUGUAGCAGUGAAAUGCGUAGAUAUCGAAGCGGAACGACCAAGGUGGCGAAGGCCGAGUCCCUGGAACAACUCCUGACACUGAGGCACGAAAGCUAGGGGGAGCAAACGGGG
rnacentral:rRNA from 1 species